GGCACGGUGCCCGAGAGGUUAGGGAACGGUCUGCAAAACCGUUUUACGUGGGUUCAAAUCCCACCCGUGCCU
rnacentral:tRNA from 1 species